UCAGUUCAGAUUGUAGGCUGAAACUCGCCUAUAUGAAGUCGGAAUUGCUAGUAAUCGCGGAUCAGCAUGCCGCGGUGAAUACGUUCCCGGGCCUUGUACACACCGCCCGUCACACCAUGAGAGUCGAUAACACCCGAAGCCUGUAGUCUAACAGCAAUGAGGACGCAGUCGAAGGUGGGAUUGAUAAUUAGGGUGAAGUCGUAACAAGGUAGC
rnacentral:rRNA from 1 species